GCCUUCAUGGUGUAACGGUAGCACACUCGGUAGUUAUUUGAGAGGUCCAGGUUCUAGUCCCGGCGAGGGUA
rnacentral:tRNA from 1 species